UACAACUAAUUUAAUCGAAUUUAACCUAGAUUCAAUUCAAAAUAGAUAAAAACACUUUAAUGUUUGAUGUUGUGUCUAAAUAUACCUAAAGAAAAUAGGGAUAUUUAGACACUAUAUAGAAUUUGCCUAUAAUAAUCUACUAUCUUUGUGACAAAUUAUUUAUCGUACAACUUACCUGGCAAAGGGGCUACUCAAAGUUUGCGGGUGAAGCCUUAAUCAGCUUGACAUGGGAUUAUCUGAACGCGCUCUCUGACUUGAGCACAUUCUACAAUAAACCAUCAAUCUAAAUGGAAAAUUCAGGAGGAAGCCUCAACAAAAAAGGGUCCAUACUGGAAAAUACGAAAUAUAGUAAGAAAAUUCCAAAAAGAUGCAUCUUAACCUAAUGGCUGUGUAUAUCUUAAAUUCAAUCAAUUGUAAUAAUUUCGAAAAGUAAUUAAAUAAAUAUACACGUUAUUAAUCUAUUACUAUGGAUAUCACACAUAAGUUCGGUGUAACAUACUUCGACUCAGCAAGUAACAUCGACCCCUACACGUAAUAUCCGAGACCCAUGUAACUCUUUGAUUCAAAGAGUCCGGUAGUCGUGUGUGAUAUUAUAGGCAGUAUCCACAGCAGUGAGGAAGUUGAAGGUAUCUGGU